AAUCUCUUAGUACAAUAGGUUAGAACUGCAUUCUUCUAAAGUGCUAAUUUUGGUUCAAGUCCAAAAGAGAAUG
rnacentral:tRNA from 1 species